rnacentral:lncRNA from 1 species
UUCAUGGUUAGUCAUUGCAUUGAUCAGAGUUCUUCAGUUUUUCAAAGUUUGUUAAUUUUUACAAUGUUGUCAUUAUAGUACAAAGUAUUCACCUGGUUCUACUUUGAGCUGAAUCUUGAAGGAAGUCAGGGAAGCCAGGAGGCAGUGAUGCAGAAGGAGAUCAUUCCAAAAAUGGAGGACAACCAGUGCAAAGCCAACAGAGUUGGGAGAUGGAGUGUUGUUAUCACCAAGCAAACAAUAGAGGCCAAUGUCACUGGAUCAUAAAGGAGAGGGAAGGAAAACAUAAGAUUGAAAAGCAACAACUGCUCCCUUCUAUCAAGACACAGUAUUCAUUGGCUGUUAAAAUGUCUUCAGUGGAACAUGGACCAUAUGGCUUUUUUUCGAACUGGGAAAAACCAAACUCCUGUUCAAAUCCUACUUGAUGAAAGCAGGCUUGUCACUUGGAUUUCCUGGGUAUGCAAAUGGACCAGGGCCCAAGAAGAGCCCUUCAGUGUCUUGUUCCAUGCUACCUUCAUGGUAUAGACACCUCCUAAUGGGAGACAGCCUAAAAAAGGCUCCCAUUUUCCUACUGAAAUAAAGGCCUAGUGCCCCAACUGUAGAGCA